UACCAGCUCUCCGAGUGGUAGGGAUGAUUAUUGGGCUUAAAGCGUCCGAAGCCGGCUUAGCAAGUUUCCUGUUAAAUUCAGCGACCUAAUCGUUGAGCCGCGGGAAAUACUACUAGGCUAGGAGGCGGGAGAGGUCGACGGUACUUCUGGGGUAGGGGUGAAAUCCUAUAAUCCCGGGAGGACCACCAGUGGCGAAGGCUGUCGACUAGAACGCGCUCGACGGUGAGGGACGAAAGCUGGGGGAGCGAACCGAAUUAGAUACCCGGGUAGUCCCAGCUGUAAACGAUGCGGGCUAGGUGUUGGGGUGGCUACGUGCCACUUCAGUGCCGCAGGGAAGCCAUUAAGCCCGCCGCCUGGGGAGUACGGCCGCAAGGCUGAAACUUAAAGGAAUUGGCGGGGGAGCACCACAAGGCGUGAAGCUUGCGGUUC
rnacentral:rRNA from 1 species